CUCUUCUUUCUUUUAAAAAUUUGUUAUACAGAAUCAAGGUGGAAAAGCUUUCUGAAGAAAUCACGCUCUUGAAAAAUGAGGUGGGGAAGAUCUGACAAGAGCUUGAAGCUUCAGAAAGGACAGAGGCUGCACAGAGGCGGAUUCUUUACCGUCUGAACUACCAGGAAAUGGAGUGUGGGCAUCAGAUAAAUGGACUCUUCAGAAAUCGUGAGCUUUCCUGGACACGCCCUUACCUUGUGGGGUGGCCUACCAGCUGUAUGGAGCCACCCAGAGGCUGUGGCUGGCCCGGUCCCAGCACGCCCAGCGGGUGCAGCAGUCGCAGGAGGAGAUGGCACAGCGCGUGCCCACAGGCCGUGUGGCCGAGCUGCAGCAGCUGCUGGAAGGAAGCACAUGAAAAACAGCUGGAAGCAACAGAAGAGCAGGUGGAGGAGGUGGGGAUGACUUAGAAGAACAUGGAAGUGCUCCUCCAAGAGAAAGUGGGUGAGCUGAAGGAACAGUUUGAAAAGAGCACAGGAUCUGAUCUGCUGCUCAAGGAGCUCUAUGUGGAAAAUGCCCACCUGACAAAAGCGCUUCAAGUCACUGAGGAGAAGCAACGAGGCACUGAGAAAAAGUCCCUAUUCUUGUACGGAAAAGUUAGAACUCUCAGCAAACUCCUCAGCAAGAUUGCUACAGCUUCCCUCGCUGUGUAAACUGCUUUUCUUCCUGGAGUUCAUUUUGAAGGAAUGUCUAUUAAAGUAAACCAGUGUGACACCGUAACUUAUUGUGGCUCACUGGCUGUACACCCCUGGAUAAACGAGGAUUGUGAUUCUGUUUACCCCACAAGCAUUUAAUGAAGGGUUGUGUGCCAAAUGCCUGGGAAACACGUUGGAAAGGACUAUUUUUUUUUUUUCAGUGGUCCUUGGGUAACUUCCAGAGUUACAUUCCUAAUUUUGCUACUGAAAAACAAACCAGAUUAUGGGGUUCUCAGCAAGGUAAAUGGUAAAAUAAAACAAUUUUAAUCUUGCACUUCUGACCUUGGCUACAGAGAUUAAAAUGCAAAGUCAGGGCUCUGUAGUUUUACCAUUGCACUGUUAGUUCUAUGGGUUUAGUCACUGGCAUUCUCGAUGGUGGAUCGGUGUAGACACUCCAGAAAUGCUACACUUUCUGUAACUUUCAACUAUUGAUAAGGGAUAGAGGAAGGAAGCCUUUUUGUCAGGGCCUGUUGCACCACGAGGGAGGUCUAGACAGUGCUGGUGUUUUAGGGCUGUGGACUCAGGGAGGAUGGUAUCGUAUCCAUUGUGAAUGCAAUCUUUUCCUCACUGAAGUGUCAUCACACUGCAAAGUGUAUUAUAUGUUUAAAAACCAGGAAAAAAGUACAGUUUUAUAUUCAAGAUAUACAUAAAUUAUGAUCAUUUGAUUGAUCAGAAUUAACUACUGUAAUAUGAAGUCACUAUCUGCAAUAAAAUCCUUUUCUAUUAAAAUGGAUUAACUUCUAAAUAUUUUUUAAACUAAAAUAUUUCAAAGAUAUAGAAAAAUAGUUCUAUAGGAAACAUUCAUAUGUAUUCCAUAAACAUGCAGAUGUGUUAAGAACAUUGUCACAUCUUGGACAGAAGCCCAGUCCCUGUUCUACUGCAGCCAACCUCUUUCCUCUUCCUGGUGGCAACCGCUCUCCUGAGGCUGCUGCAAGCCCCUUCCCCUCCAUCUGUCUGCACAUUUACUGUACGUGCUUGAACGAGAAAAACCUUAAACCGCUGGAAGAGAUGGAAAGCUCAGAUCUGGGGUAGGAGGGCUCAACAGCAUAAUGUGGACUCUUCUCUCCAUGCA
rnacentral:lncRNA from 1 species